rnacentral:tRNA from 1 species
CAAAGAAUAGUUUAAUAUAGAAUCCUAGCUUUGGGAGUUAGGGGUGGGAGUUAGAAUCUCUUUUCUUUGA